GUGCUCGCUUUGGCAGCACGUAUACUAAAAUUGGAACGAUACAGAGAAGAUUAGCAUGGCCCCUGCGCAAGGAUGACACGCAAAUCAAAAAAUUAAAAAAAAAAAAA